AAGUCUUCCACCUCGCUCGACCAAGCUUCCCCCCCAAGCCGGUCUUGAGCUGGAUACCCAACUCCCGAUUAUCCCUCUUCGGAGGAAUAAUCAAGAGUUGUGCGUACAAGACGAGAAAGAAUUACAACGACCUUUGAGUGCGGACUCUCCUUGUGUUACUAUAGGAGAUGUUUUUUUCUUUUUCGCAAUUUGUUGUUGGGACAUGC
rnacentral:snoRNA from 1 species